AACACAAACCCCGACGCUGAAUGCGUCAAGGAAUUUAAAAUUUGCUCUGAGCGCACUUGCAUGGCACCGUGACGGUUUUCGUGCGGGUUGUGUUCUGACACAUAAUAUAGAAUGACUCUCGGCAACGGAUAUCUAGGCUCUUGCAUCGAUGAAGAACGUAGCGAAAUGCGAUACUUGGUGUGAAUUGCAGAAUCCCGUGAACCAUCGAGUCUUUGAACGCAAGUUGCGCCCGAUUCCAUUAGGUUGAGGGCACGUCUGCCUGGGCGUCACAUAUCGAAGCCUCUCGCCAAUUUCCUAUAUUGAUAGGGGUAUUGUGCAGGGCGAAUGUUGGCCUCCCGUGAGCUCUAUUGCCUCAUGGUUGGUUGAAAAUCGAGACCUUGGUAGGGUGUGCCAUGAUAGAUGGUGGCUGUGUUACGCACGAGACCAAGUAAGUCAUGUGCCGCUCUAUUGAAUUUAGGCCUCUUUUACCCAUAUGCGUUUUGAAACGCUCGUGAUGAGACCUCAGGUCAGGCGGGGCUACCCGCUGAAUUUAAGCAUAUCAAUAAGCGGAGGAAAAGAAACUAACAAGGAUUCC
rnacentral:rRNA from 1 species